rnacentral:tRNA from 2 species
ACCUGCAUGGCUCAAUCGGUUGAGCGUCUGACUGCAGCUCAGGUCAUGAUCUCACAGUUCGCGGGUUUGAGCCCCGUGUCGGGCU